rnacentral:rRNA from 1 species
UGGAUCCAGACUUUGAUAUGGCUCAGGAUGAACGCUGGCGGCGUGCCUAACACAUGCAAGUCGAACGAAGAGCGUGGACCGGAUCCUUUCGGGGUGACGGACCAUGAUACUUAGUGGCGGACGGGUGAGUAACGCGUGGGUAACCUGCCCAGUACAGGGGGACAACAGCCGGAAACGGCUGCUAAUACCGCAUAAGCCUGUAAUGUCGCAUGACAUAUCAGGAAAAACUCCGGUGGUACUGGAUGGGCCCGCGUCUGAUUAGCUAGUUGGAGGGGUAACGGCCCACCAAGGCGACGAUCAGUAGCCGGCUUGAGAGAGUGACCGGCCACAUUGGGACUGAGACACGGCCCAAACUCCUACGGGAGGCAGCAGUGGGGAAUAUUGCGCAAUGGGGGAAACCUGAUGCAGCAACGCCGCGUGAGUGAAGAAGUAUUUCGGUAUGUAAAGCUCUAUCAGCAGGGAAGAUAAUGACGGUACCUGACUAAGAAGCCCCGGCUAACUACGUGCCAGCAGCCGCGGUAAUACGUAGGGGGCAAGCGUUAUCCGGAUUUACUGGGUGUAAAGGGAGCGCAGGCGGCAGGGCAAGUCAGAUGUGGAAACCCGGGGCUCAACCCCGGGAGUGCAUUUGAAACUGUCCGGCUGGAGUGCAGGAGAGGCAGGCGGAAUUCCUAGUGUAGCGGUGAAAUGCGUAGAUAUUAGGAGGAACACCAGUGGCGAAGGCGGUCUGCUGGACUGUAACUGACGCUGAGGCUCGAGAGCGUGGGGAGCAAACAGGAUUAGAUACCCUGGUAGUCCACGCCGUAAACGAUGAGUGCUAAGUGUUGGAGGGUUUCCGCCCUUCAGUGCUGCAGCUAACGCAUUAAGCACUCCGCCUGGGGAGUACGGUCGCAAGACUGCAACUCAAGUGAAUUGACGGA